rnacentral:rRNA from 1 species
UACGAAGGGGGCUAGCGUUGUUCGGAAUUACUGGGCGUAAAGCGCACGUAGGCGGAUACUUAAGUUAGGGGUGAAAUCCCGGGGCUCAACCCCGGAACUGCCUUUGAUACUGGGUAUCUCGAGUCCGGAAGAGGUGAGUGGAAUUCCGAGUGUAGAGGUGAAAUUCGUAGAUAUUCGGAGGAACACCAGUGGCGAAGGCGGCUCACUGGUCCGGGACUGACGCUGAGGUGCGAAAGCGUGGGGAGCAAACAGG